rnacentral:lncRNA from 1 species
AGAAGAAAAGAAAGAGAUGAGGAGCAUAAAAGAGAGGAGCAGAGGAAAAGAGAACGAGAAGCGGAACCGCUACAGACAUGCAGGUGUUGUUCUUCUUUCCAAGCACCAAUCGUGCAUGCAUCUUUUACGUUAGGCCCUUUUACUUAUCACGCCGUUAUUUGAGAUUCAUGAAUGACGAACUAGCCUGAACUUUAGCCAUAAUAUAAAUUUUUUGUUUAAACAU